GACGAACGCUGGCGGCGUGCUUAACACAUGCAAGUCGAACGGAAAGCCCCUGCUUUUGUGGGGUGCUCGAGUGGCGAACGGGUGAGUAACACGUGAGUAACCUGCCCUUGACUUUGGGAUAACUUCAGGAAACUGGGGCUAAUACCGGAUAGGAGCUCCUGCUGCAUGGUGGGGGUUGGAAAGUUUCGGCGGUUGGGGAUGGACUCGCGGCUUAUCAGCUUGUUGGUGGGGUAGUGGCUUACCAAGGCUUUGACGGGUAGCCGGCCUGAGAGGGUGACCGGCCACAUUGGGACUGAGAUACGGCCCAGACUCCUACGGGGGGCAGCAGUGGGGAAUAUUGCACAAUGGGCGGAAGCCUGAUGCAGCAACGCCGCGUGCGGGAUGACGGCCUUCGGGUUGUAAACCGCUUUCGCCUGUGACGAAGCGUGAGUGACGGUAAUGGGUAAAGAAGCACCGGCUAACUACGUG
rnacentral:rRNA from 1 species